rnacentral:rRNA from 1 species
GAUGAACGCUGGCGGCGUGCCUAAUACAUGCAAGUCGAGCGAACGGACGAGAAGCUUGCUUCUCUGAUGUUAGCGGCGGACGGGUAAGUAACACGUGGAUAACCUACCUAUAAGACUGGGAUAACUUCGGGAAACCGGAGCUAAUACCGGAUAAUAUUUUGAACCGCAUGGUUCAAAAGUGAAAGACGGUCUUGCUGUCACUUAUAGAUGGAUCCGCGCUGCAUUAGCUAGUUGGUAAGGUAACGGCUUACCAAGGCAACGAUGCAUAGCCGACCUGAGAGGGUGAUCGGCCACACUGGAACUGAGACACGGUCCAGACUCCUACGGGAGGCAGCAGCAGGGAAUCUUCCGCAAUGGGCGAAAGCCUGACGGAGCAACGCCGCGUGAGUGAUGAAGGUCUUCGGAUCGUAAAACUCUGUUAUUAGGGAAGAACAUAUGUGUAAGUAACUGUGCACAUCUUGACGGUACCUAAUCAGAAAGCCACGGCUAACUACGUG